CUAGCCCCAAGCAGGCCAUUCAUCAUCACUAUCUCUAUCGGUCAUCGCUCAUCACUCUCAGUUUUUCCCCUCCCUACUGUCGGCAUUUGUCGGCAAUUGCUCUCUGUCUCUAGAGCAGCGGCAUUACAGCACGUUCGGCAAUUUCCCUUGGCUUCGCACUGAUUGUAAAAUUCAUCUUCCUCGCACAAUUAAUGCUCAUGUGGAUGUUGGUAAUGCGGAUGAUUGCAGACAAAUUGUGAAUAAACAAUCCCUUCAUCCUUCUUGUUGAAGUGAAUUGUGAAUAAACAAUUUUUCCUCCUCAAAAUUGUGAGUAAACAAUAUGGUUCUUUCGAUCUCUUGGGUCAUAUCUCUAAAUUUGUAGUGCUCCCAAAAUAUCACAAUAUCGGUGGCAUGAUGUUGGGCCCAACAAAAAAUCCCAAGGGUAGACAAAUCAAUUAUAGCCGUAUUCGACAAUGCAUUACUAUGGGUAUCAUUGAGCAUGAUCUUCCUUAUUCCUUUGUUGAGUACGAAGGGUAUAGGGCUUUACUAGAGUAUUUGAAUCCUGAUAUUAAGCACAUUAGUCGAAGCACUGCUAUAUCAGAUGUUUGGGAAUUUUAUCUUAGUCAAAGGGAAAAUUUGAAACAAAUCAUGUCAAAGAGUCCCGGUAGAGUAUGUUUAACUUAUGAUUAUUGGAUCACGAUAACUACUGAAGCAUAUGUUUGCUUGACCGCUCAUUUUGUUGAUGAAAAUUGAAAACUUAAUGGCAAAAUACUUGCUUUCUGUAAGGUGGUGCCUUCGGACUGGGAGUUUCAAUUGGCUGAAAAUGUGCAUGAAUGCUUGAUGGAUUGGGGGAUUGACAGGAAAUUAUUUUCUAUUACUUUGGACAAUGCUUCAAUGAAUGAUAAUAUGAAAGAUGUAUUGAAAGAGAGGUUGAGUUCACAAAAUCACUUGAUAUGCAAUGGGGACUUCUUUCAUGUAAGAUGUUGUGCUGAUAUAAUGAAUUUUAUGGUUCAGGAGGGCUUGAAAGUAAUAAGCGUUGCUUUACAUAAGAUUGAGGAGAGCAUUAAAUAUGUGAAAGCAUCAGAGGCGAGGAUGAUUAAUUUUAGGCAAUGCGUUGAGCAAGUUGGGGGCAUUGAUACCUCAAUAGAUUUGCAAUUGGAUGUGUCUACUGGAAGGAAUUCUACAUAUGCAAUGUUGGAAAGUGGGAUUAGAUAUCGCCAUGCUUUUGCUAGAUUGGCUUUAAAUGAUAGUAAUUACAAGUGUUGCCUAUUAGAUGAAGAGUGGAAGAGAGCAGAGGAAAUUUGCACUUUCUUGGAGCCAUUUGAAGUGAUUACAAACUUGAUGAAUGGGUCAUCUUACCUGAUUUCAAACAUUUAUUUCAUGAAAAUGUCAAAAAUUGAGAUGUUGCUGAAAGAAGAUGUGAUGAAUGUUGAUCUUGUGAUUCAAGAUAUGGCUCGUAGGAUGAAAGAAAAGUUUGACAAAUAUUAGGAUGAUUAUCGUGUGAUCUUUGCACUUGGGACUAUUCUUGAUCCGUGAUUGAAGCUUGAAUUGAUAAAGCACUGUUAUUCAUUACUUGACCCUAUAACUUGUCAUGCAAAGAUUGAAACUAUCAAGAGUAAGUUAUAUUUUGUUUAUAGUCAAUAUAAAGAUAUUGGUUCAUCAUCCUCAUAUCAUGGCAUUGAAUGUGAGUCAAGUUCUAAAGCAUCAAUGUCAAUACCAAAUCCACCUACCCUUGGUGCAAGGCAUGAAGAACUUUUCACAGAUGUUUUUCGUGUAAGCUUGAUGUUCUAUGAUAAUUAAAUUUAAUUUAUGUCUUCUUUACUGGAAUUUUUUUUUGGGGUGGAUUUGAAUUAAAUUUGAGACUCCUAAUGCCAUUUUAAUUGGUACUUUAUUAAUAUUUUACAUGAUGCAGGAUUAUCUUGAUUUUAAGACUAGAGAUACUGCUUCAGUAGGAAAGUCUGAUCUUGAUUAUAAUUUGGAAGAAGCAAUACUUGAUCCUAACUCAUUUCAAGAAUUAGAUGUCUUGGACUAUUGGAAGACUAAUCAGUUUUGAUUUUCACAUCUUUCAAGGAUGGCAUGUGAUAUCUUGAGCAUUCCGAUCACUACAGUGGCUAAUCAAUCAGCUUUUAGCAUUGAUUUACAUUUUUUCACAAAGUAUCGAAGCUGUUUCCUUUCAAAGAAUGACCAAGCUCUUAUUUGUGUCCGUAAUUGGUUGUAUGGUUUUAAAUAUAGUGUGAUGGAAUUGAUGGUGAGGAUCAAGAUUAAUCUCCAUGAGCGAUGCUGAAGAAGAUUAGGUGAUGAAUUUAUCAAAUCAAGGUAUUUAGAUGAUUAGGCGCAGGAACAAAUAUUUGCAUUGAAAGGUUCUUGGAGAAUUGGGUUCCAUGUUUGUGCUGGUUUGUAGAAACGAAAUGGAGUGUUUUGUAUAAGCUGUAUAAAGAUGUAUAAGUGAUGCUGUGAUGGCUUACUUAAAAUGUGUAAAACUUGGAGUCGGGACAGCCUACUUUUCUAAUUCUAAUGA